CAGCUUACCAACCCGAACCAAACUCCGAAUGCCAUUGACUUGUUCCAAAGGAGUCAGCCUGCGGGGAAUAACCUCCGUAGGCAAGAGGGAAACAACCCAGACCGCCAGCUAAGGUCCCUAAGUGUGAGCUAAGUGAUUUAAAGGAUGUGAGAUUACGUAGACAGCUAGGAUGUUGGCUUAGAAGCAGCCACCAUUUAAAGAGUGCGUAAUUGCUCACUAGUCAAGUGGUCUUGCGCCGACAAUGUAUCGGGGCUAAGCUCAUCACCGAAGCUGCGGAAUGUCGAACUUCGUUCGCGAAGUUCACAUUGGUAGGGGAGCGUUCCAUAUUAGGCUGAAGGUAAACCGUAAGGUUUGCUGGACGAGAUGGAAGUGAUUAUGUCGGCAUGAGUAGCGAUAAAGCGGGUGAGAAUCCCGCUCACCGAAAAUCUAAGGUUUCCUGGGCUAGGCUCGUCCUCCUGGGGUUAGUCGGGACCUAAGCCGAGGCCGAAAGGCGUAGGCGAUGGAAAACAGGCGAAAAUUCCUGUACCACUCUUAGCGCGUUUGAGCUAUGGGGUGACGCAGAAGUGAAAGGUCAGCCAGCGACUGGAAAUGCUGGUCUAAGCCGGUAGGAGGGUUGUCCAGGUAAAUCCGGACAACCGCUACUCCGAGAGGCGAUGGGGAGCCGCUGAGCGGCAUAAACUGACCCUAAUCAUGCUGCCAAGAAAAACCUCUAUGUGAGUUCUGCAGGUGCCCGUACCGCAAACCGACACAGGUAGAUGAGGAGAGUAUCCAAAGGUGCGCGAGUGAACCCUCGUUAAGGAAUUCGGCAAAAUGAUCCCGUAACUUCGGAAGAUGGGAUGCCCUCAGUAGGUGAAGCCCCUCGCGGGUGGAGCCCAAAGGGGCCGCAGAGAAACGGGCUGGGCGACUGUUUACCAAAAACACAGGUCUCUGCUAAGCCGUAAGGCAAUGUAUAGGGACUGACACGUGCCCGGUGCGGGUAAGUUAAAAGGAGGGGUUAGCUUCUUCGGAAGCGAAGCUCUGAAUUGAAGCUCCCGUAAACGGCGGCCGUAACUAUAACGGUCCUAAGGUAGCGAAAUUCCUCGUCGGCUAAAAACCGACCUGCACGAAUCGUGUAACGACUUGGCCGCUGUCUCAACGAGGGACUCGGUGAAAUUGUAGUUCCGGUGAAGAUGCCGGAUACCCGCGGCAGGACAGAAAGACCCCGUGAACCUUUACUACAGCUUGGUAUUGGAUUUUGACACUGUAUGUGUAGGAUAGGUGGGAGGCUACGAAGUGGGAGCGCCAGUUUCCAUGGAGCCGUCCUUGAAAUACCACCCUUAUUUUGUUAAGAUUCUAACCUUGGUCCUUUGAUCAGGAUUGGGGACAGUGCCAGGUGGGUAGUUUAACUGGGGCGGUUGCCUCCUAAAAGGUAACGGAGGCGCCCAAUGGUUCCCUCAGCGCGGUCGGUAAUCGCGCGUAGAGUGUAAAGGCAUACAGGGAGCUUGACUGCGAGACUUACAAGUCGAGCAGGUGCGAAAGCAGGGCUUAGUGAUCCGACGGUUGCAUGUGGAAGCGCCGAAGCUCAACGGAUAAAAGGUACUCCGGGGAUAACAGGCUUAUCGCGCCCAAGCGCUCAUAGCGACGGCGCGGUUUGGCACCUCGAUGUCGGCUCAGCGCAUCCUGGGGCUGUAGGCGGUCC
rnacentral:rRNA from 1 species